rnacentral:rRNA from 1 species
AUGACAAGCUCUUUCACAUCAAGCAGCAAUUGGGUGCUCUGUGUACAACAUUCCCGAGUAGUGUCUGUCUUCAGUUCGUGCAAUUUUGUCCGUUAUGGUCUUUUGCUCCAGCUGGUAUCACAAUGCAAUGGCAGUGGGACAAGCAUCAAUCGCGGGACAAAAAAUUCACAACAUAUUUUUAUGUUGCCUCGUUCCCCUUCUGAACCAAUAUCAUAUACUUCAGCUAGUGGCGAUCACCUUGAGCAAAUGUGGGACCCUGGAGGCCUUGCGAGCUAUAUAUGCAGUACAUGUGCAUCGACUUCCCUGAUGCAUUACUUGUUUGAAGCCUGGAUUGCAUAUGCGACUCCUAUAUGCACCCAGUUGAGAAUGGAGAAGCCAAUGGCCAGCGGCGAACUAAAUCAGUGGAUGACCAUUCAUUUCUUGCCUGGAACAUGGGAGCUUGAUUACAGACUUGACAAGUUCAUAGAGCUAUGGGGAUUCUUGCUGCCAUUAUAUUGCCAGUCAUGCAAGUCCACGAGGAGCGGAAAAAUCUGUGUGUCGAGCGUACCUGAUGAUCUAGGGAGCUUUACGGUUGUCCAGGAAGACUAUGGGACUUCAGCUUCCAAUCAAGGCACUCUUCAAGGAGGGAGGGGUUUCAUCACCGGUGCUGUUGUCGUCGUCGUGCAGGGCUCCAUCAACCACAAGUACUACCUUAACUUCGAUCAAGACUAUGUUGGCACCGACCACUUCCUCGGCGCCUCUUUGGAUGGAGUCACCAUCGACCACGGCUACUACAACCUCCUCGUUCAAGUCAACCUCGACGUCGACUACCAUCAUGACUUCGACCUAGUCAAGGAACAUCGAGUGCAAUGA